UUUCCGGGAGAGACUUUAUGUGAAGCACCGAAGAGGCAAGCAGUGCGAAUCUGGGGCUGGAUUCGUUUAGUGAAACUUUCAGGUAAAAGGACCGGAAA
rnacentral:ncRNA from 1 species